AAAUGUCGUAACGACUCUCGGCAACGGAUAUCUCGGCUCUCGCAUCGAUGAAGAACGUAGCGAAAUGCGAUACUUGGUGUGAAUUGCAGAAUCCCGUGAACCAUCGAGUCUUUGAACGCAAGUUGCGCCCGAAGCCGUCAGGCCGAGGGCACGUCUGCCUGGGCGUCACGCAUCGCGUCGCCCCCCUCUCCCCGCGCGGGCGAGGCGGGGCGGAUAU
rnacentral:rRNA from 1 species